GUCAGAGGCACAGGUUGGUAACGCAGUCUCAGGUUAGCUAAUCCUCCUCCUUAUUGUCUAAAUGGAGAGGCGGUGGAUCAUCUGCUGGGCUGUGAUCCUUACCUGCACACAGAGGUAUAAAGAGACCCUUUGCAGCAGGCAAACAGGACUUGCAGCUGACAGAAGGCAUUUUGCCAGGAGCCAAGGGAUAAAGAUGUGAUUUCCAAACAUGUCCAGCCAGGGGCCUGACCCUGUGAUGUCAAGGGUUGGACUCUUCAUCACCUUAGGGAAAAUGGAUUCAUGUCAAAGCAAAGUUCAUGUCACUUGUUGUGUCUGUAAAACAGUAAAUAGGUGAGGUGGAACCACCUACAAGGAGCGGAGACUUCUUCACCCUCGGGGAACUGCUUGUCCUGCUCAGAUGGAGAAAGUUCAAAAGCCUUGAUAUGGGAUCUGGAGAAACUAUGCUAAGGCAAAUGCUUCAGAGAGUAGUUCUGGAAGCCCAGAAGGCACCAAACUGAGUUUUCUUCCACUUAAAAUCAUUGGGAUGGCUGGAAUUGAGGACACAGUAGGUGG